GCCUGGGUAGCUCAGUGGGUUGAGCAUCUGACUUGAUUUGGGCUCAGGUCAUGAUUCCAGGGUUGUGGGAUUGAGCCCCACAUUGGGCU
rnacentral:tRNA from 1 species